CCGAGGCCUCACCCGGAGGAGCACAUCCAUCCUGACGCUCUGGUCUGCCGUGGCCUUCCCACGAACGGGCCUGGAGCCCCUGUCUCUGCCUCGGGCAGGGGCAGGGGGACCGGCCGCCUGGGGUCCCGGCCUGGCCUCUGGCUUUUGGUGGGAGCCUGGGCAGGCCCCUGUCCCCUCCGGGCCUCAGUGUCUGCACCCUCCACUGAGGCACCACGAAGCGUCCCCUUGUUCUGCCGUCCCAGAGGUUGGGCAGGUGCGGGACAAGCCCCACCUCCCUGCCAGUCUCUCCAGGCCGCUGGGUCUGCCCCUGACUGGCUGGUGUGUCGUUCCCCCGUCUGGGCCUCAGUUUCCCCAACAACGAGAUGAGCAUGGUCAUUUUCAUCACUUUUACUCAGCCUCGUCGGUUUGCUACAAGGAUCCAGCUGGAUGGAGGGUGAGGAAGUUCUGUUAAUAGCUCUCGGGCGCCUCUGGGUCCUUGAGGCUCAGGGGGAAGCGGCAUGUCUCCUUAAGGCCACUAGGUGGUGCCAGCGGGCCACCCAUCUCCCUGAAGGCUGUCAAGUUCCACCCUGGGUUACUGCAGGACCACAGCCAUGUACCUCCUCCCACUGAGACGGGCCAGCUGGCAGAGGCAGGCUGUGCUGGGGUUAGGGACGGGUUUUAGGGUCAAGCAAACUUGAACUUGAAGUUCUACUCCGGGCCCUGCUCUUGGUGAGUGUCCUGGGUCUCUGCUUGGCAAUUAACUCGCCGGGUGUCACUGGGCAUGUCACAGGACCUGCGACUUGAGGUUCUUCAUCUGGGAAACAGGACAACGUGUCUUUUCUCCUGGGGCAUCCUGGAGACCAAGUGACAUCGGUCGUGUAAAAUAUCCAUCCCGCCUUCUGGCCCAGAGCGAGCCUCUGUGAGCACGUCUGUCACCAGCCAUUACUACUUUACAUGUCAGAGUCUCCCCUGGGGAGAACCUCGGGCAGGAAGCCCAGAGAACUGGAUCUGAAUUUGGCAAGUCCCUUCUCAUCUCUGGUUCUCUGUUGGCCCCAACGGACAUUGAGAGACUGGGAGCGUCGUGGAGAAAUAAGGGCUUGGGAAUCCGACAGACUUGGUGUGAAUGCGGCCCACCUCUCCUCUUCCCAGCUGUGCGCCCUUGGGCCUCCCUGGUGAGAAAACAGGCCCAGAGAAGGUGGGUCCUUGCCCAGGCUCACACAGCUACGGAGCAGUAGAAGCUGGCAUUUGAAACUGAGCCCCAAGACAGAUUCGUGUUGGCAGAUGUAUAAACUGAAUACUGACCCUCCAGAGAGAUCCACGCCCUAAUCCCGGGAACCCCUGUGAAUGUCACCUCCCGAUGGCAAAGGGAUUCUGCAGAUGGGAAGAAGUGAAGGAUCUUGAGAUGGGAACAUUAUCCCCGAUUAUCCAGGUGGGCCUAAUGUCAUUGCAAGGAUCCUUCUCAGAGGGAGGUGGGAGCGUCAGAGUGGGAAGAAGAGAAUGGACAGCAGAGGGAGGAAAGGCCACGUGAUGUGGGAAUGAAGGCAGCA
rnacentral:lncRNA from 1 species